GUCGGCGGCCAAGCGAAAGCGUUAAGUGUCCCACCUGGGGAGUACGCCGGCAACGGUGAAACUCAAAGGAAUUGACGGGGGCCCGCACAAGCGGAGGAACAUGUGGUUUAAUUCGAUGAUACGCGAGGAACCUUACCCGGGCUUGAACUGCGCCUGAAUGUGCCGGAAACGGUGCAGCCGCAAGGCAGGCGCGGAGGUGCUGCAUGGUUGUCGUCAGCUCGUGCCGUGAGGUGUCGGCUUAAGUGCCAUAACGAGCGCAACCCCUUCCGGCAGUUGCCAUCAGGUGAUGCUGGGUACUCUGCCGGUACUGCCAUCGUAAGAUGCGAGGAAGGUGGGGAUGACGUCAAAUCAGCACGGCCCUUACGUCCGGGGCUACACACGUGUUACAAUGGGGGGUACAGAGGGCUGCCAGCCGGCGACGGCGCGCGAAUCCCGAAAUCCCCUCCCAGUUCGGACUGGAGCCUGCAACCCGGCUCCACGAAGCUGGAUUCGCUAGUAAUCGCGCAUCAGCCAUGGCGCGGUGAAUACGUUCCCGGGCCUUGUACACACCGCCCGUCAAGCCAUGAAAGCCGGGGGUACCUGAAGUGCGUAACCGCAAGGGGCGCCCUAGGGUAAAACCGGUGAUUGGGGCUAAGUCGUAACAAGGUAGCCGUACCGGAAGGUGCGGCUGGAACACCUCCUUU
rnacentral:rRNA from 1 species